rnacentral:rRNA from 1 species
GUGAGGAAUCUUCCACAAUGGGCGAAAGCCUGAUGGAGCAACGCCGCGUGAAGGAUGAAGGUCUUCGGAUUGUAAACUUCUUUUAUGAGUGAAGAAUAUGACGGUAACUCAUGAAUAAGCACCGGCUAACUACGUGCCAGCAGCCGCGGUCAUACGUAGGGUGCAAGCAUUAUCCGGAGUGACUGGGCGUAAAGAGUUGCGUAGGCGGUUAUGUAAGCGAAUAGUGAAACCUGGUGGCUCAACCACACAGACUAUUAUUCGAACUGCAUAACUCGAGAAUGGUAGAGGUAACUGGAAUUUCUUGUGUAGGAGUGAAAUCCGUAGAUAUAAGAAGGAACACCAAUGGCGUAGGCAGGUUACUGGGCCAUUUCUGACGCUAAGGCACGAAAGCCAGGGGAGCGAACGGGAUUAGAUACCCGGGUAGUCC